GCUGUGCGCUGCUCCUGGGAAGCGCCGCUUGGGCUGGGGCUGGAGGGGGAGCUUCUGCUUUGAGCUGGGGUCCUUGGAAGAGUCGCGCUUGCAUGGUUGCGGUCACUCCAUGGUGAAAUCUAUGUUUGCUGAAGAGGUAUAGCCUCAAAGAACUGGAGGUGAAGGUCAUGUAAGUGAAGGAGGCCCAUGAAUACAGCCCCUCUGUAGAGGUCCAGCCCUGCAUGCUCCCAGGGCAAAGCUGGUAAAGGGAUGAACCAUUUGAGCCCUGCUGGUGCUGAUGCUCCUGGGAGGGUCAGCUUGAGGCAGUGUGGAGCCCACAUUUCAUCAUUCAGGAGAAACUACCAAUGCCCCAGUGUCAAGCACGAGCUGAGGCUGUUGCUGGUUAUGGGUUUUACCUGUUUAUAUUGCUGCUACCCAAUAGAUGCAGAUCAUCAAGUAAGGUUGGAGUAUGCAGCAAGAUGCUCUGUUCAGAGCAGGCUGAGACCACUACCUACUGAUGGACACGCAAGUUGAGCUGGUCGCGGGCAAGCAGCACCAUUUGGUGAGUCAGAGAUAAUCCCAUUUGCAAACCAAGGCACCAUCUCCCUCAUGCUCUGCCCUGUGAUGGGGAUGCCAGACGUCAGCCCCGCAACAGCAGCAGGCUGCCAGCCAGCCCUGAGAGCACAGGAGUGUGGUGGCCAGGCUCCCAGCACACCAGAUACAAAGCACGAGAGUGUAGCUGCUUUCAUCUUCUGUCUUUUGUCUCCUAAAAUUGCCCCAUGUUGCCUGAGCAGGCUGGCAUGUUUCAGCACUGAAAACCAGAUGUUGCCAAAUCUCCAGUGGUUGUUCUUGGUGCUUUUUGUUGUUACUUUAAGAGAAGUAUGUGUGUCAUGCCUCUUGCAAAAACAGAGGAUUUACACCUUUAACAGGGGUCAGCUCUGUUUUCAGCUGCCUUGCCCUCCGCAGAGAUGUCUGUCUAUCUAUCUAGCUCAGAAAUGUUGCUGUCAGAUUUCUGUAAGCAUGAAUUCAACAGCACCCUCCAUAGCAACACACAGUCCUCUCCCAGCCACUUGCUACCUGCUCAGUUUGUGCCUGCAAAAGUAUUUGCCUGGGUAUGUGUGCCAGUAAUAUGACUUCUUUUUUCCAUCUGCAGUUUUAGACGUUAAGCCCAGAGUUUCAUCACCAGCUCUGUGCCUCCCAC